AUGCCAGGCACAGUAAAACAAGAUAAGGUUGCUGGCAAGGCUUCUCCAUUAGCUUGGCUAUAUAAAGUUUUGAAGCACACUGGGCCUCCUGCAGGUGUGUCUGCAGGGAGGACUUUCCCAGCUCCUUUGCUGAUUAGUGUGCAGAAGCCCCACUUCCAUCGCAGGGGUCCUCUGAGUGACAAACGUACAGGAGAGAAGGAAUCACUGGAGUCAAACAACAUCUGGAAACAAAUUGUGGAGGAACUGCAGAAAGGGCCUGACAUGGACAUACAGGUUCUGUGGAAGGCAGCAUUUCCUGCAGGCAGCGGUCACUCGUCGGCAGCCUCUGCUGCAGGAAGGAAUGGGAUGGCACACAUGAGUACGGGCCCAGACACAGGAGAUUUGGUUGCUGGGAAGGCUCGUUCCUUAGCCUUGAGAUAUGAAGAUUUGAAGCCCUCUGGGCCACCUGCAGUUACAGGUGUGUCUGCAGAGAGGAUUUCUCCAGCUCCUGGGCUGGAUGCUGCACACAAGCCUGACUCCCAUCCCAGCGUUCCUCCAACAGAAAAGACCAAACACACCUCAGAGAAGAAAUCCCAGGAGCGAUUUGAAGUCAUGUGGAAAAUGCUGAAGGAAUGCUACAGGGAGGACAAGAAGUGGAUGAAGAGGCUGUGCUGAAGGCGGUGUUUCCCGGAGGAAGCAGUGGUUCACUGGCAGCCUCUGCUUAAGGAAGGGAGGCCAUGCCAGGCACAGUCCCAGGAG
rnacentral:lncRNA from 1 species